ACAGGCCGGCAGGUUUGAGCAUUUUGAUUGAAUUGUCAAACCAGGCGUGCCUGUGG
rnacentral:pre_miRNA from 1 species